rnacentral:rRNA from 1 species
GAUGAACGCUGGCGGCGUGCCUAAUACAUGCAAGUCGAGCGAACGGACGAGAAGCUUGCUUCUCUGAUGUUAGCGGCGGACGGGUGAGUAACACGUGGAUAACCUACCUAUAAGACUGGGAUAACUUCGGGAAACCGGAGCUAAUACCGGAUAAUAUUUUGAACCGCAUGGUUCAAAAGUGAAAGACGGUCUUGCUGUCACUUAUAGAUGGAUCCGCGCUGCAUUAGCUAGUUGGUAAGGUAACGGCUUACCAAGGCAACGAUGCAUAGCCGACCUGAGAGGGUGAUCGGCCACACUGGAACUGAGACACGGUCCAGACUCCUAUGGGAGGCAGCAGUAGGGAAUCUUCCGCAAUGGGCGAAAGCCUGACGGAGCAACGCCGCGUGAGUGAUGAAGGUCUUCGGAUCGUAAAACUCUGUUAUUAGGGAAGAACAUAUGUGUAAGUAACUGUGCACAUCUUGACGGUACCUAAUCAGAAAGCCACGGCUAACUACGU